AACGAACGCUGGCGGCAUGCCUAACACAUGCAAGUCGAACGAGACCUUCGGGUCUAGUGGCGCACGGGUGCGUAACGCGUGGGAACCUGCCCUUAGGUUCGGAAUAACUCCCCGAAAGGGGUGCUAAUACCGGAUAAUGUCUUCGGACCAAAGAUUUAUCGCCUUUGGAUGGGCCCGCGUUGGAUUAGCUCGUUGGUAGGGUAAAAGCCUACCAAGGCGACGAUCCAUAGCUGGUCUGAGAGGAUGAUCAGCCACACUGGGACUGAGACACGGCCCAGACUCCUACGGGAGGCAGCAAUGGGGAAUAAUGGACAAUGGGCGGAAGCCUGAUCCAGCAAUGCCGGGUGAGUGAUGAAGGCCUUAGGGUUGUAAAGCUCUUUUACCCGGGAUGAUAAUGACAGUACCGGGAGAAUAAGCUCCGGCUAACUCCGUG
rnacentral:rRNA from 1 species